UCGGACUGAAAAUGAUCUCAGAUGUAUCAGUGGUCUGAGUUCAGAUAACUGAGCCUAAAGUAUUCUGGCGCGUUAAGCUUAUCACCUGCUCACUCAUUUGCAGAGUGAUAAAACCCAUGUGCCGACAAAA